UUUUGAAGAAGAAGAAGCAGCUUAGCUUUGUGAAGGAAGGAGUAGUAUGAGCUCUCGACCACAGGACUCCAAUAAUAUAAGAAAUGGCACAUCAGUUCCUGAUAAUAAGGGUAUCUUCAGCCCAAAUCAGGGAAACCCUACAGCAUCUGGCACUCAGACUCAGGGCUCCAACAUAAGAGGCGGCACUUCAAUCCCUAAGGGUCAAGAUGUCAGGUCCCCCCCUGGUCGAGCACCAUGACUCUCUUCAUUUCAUUUUCAGAUGAUCAUCAAGUGCCGGUCUUGAUAAAAGAAUAAGGGAAGCAAAAUAUUAUAGCGCAGUUCUAUCGUAAUUACAUAGCUAGGAAGAAUAAGAAUACUAUUAGAAAUAUUAUUCAACUUUUUUUUUUUGGUUUUGUUUUGCGUCUAGAAAUGAUUUGUUGUUCUUGUUGCUUCCCAUAAAUAAUAUACAAAGUCAAGUGUCUGAGUAGUU